rnacentral:rRNA from 1 species
UACGUAGGGGGCAAGCGUUGUCCGGAUUUAUUGGGCGUAAAGCGCUCGCAGGUGGUUCAUUGCGUCGUGCGUGAAAGACCCCGGCUCAACUGGGGAGGGUCGUGCGAGACGGGUGAACUAGAGGCCAGUAGGGGGAUGCGGAAUUCCGGGUGUAGUGGUGGAAUGCGUAGAGAUCCGGAGGAACACCAGCGGCGAAGGCGGCAUCCUGGACUGGUCCUGACACUCAGGAGCGAAAGCGUGGGGAGCGAUCCGG